UGCUUAACACAUGCAAGUCGAACGAUGAAGCAGGGCUUGCUCUGCGGAUUAGUGGCGAACGGGUGAGGAACACGUGAGAAACCUGCCCCAGACUCUGGGAUAACAAUUAGAAAUGAUUGCUAAUACCGGAUGACGUCGGCGAAUCGCAUGAUUCACUGACGAAAGGAAAUCCGGUUUGGGAGGGUCUCGCGACCUAUCAGCUUGUUGGCGGGGUAAUGGCCCACCAAGGCGUCGACGGGUAGCUGGUCUGAGAGGAUGAUCAGCCACAUUGGGACUGAGACACUGCCCAGACUCCUACGGGAGGCUGCAGUCGAGGAUCUUUAGCAAUGCCCGAAAGGGUGGCUAUGCGACGCCGCGUGCAGGAUGAAGGCCUUCGGGUUGUAAACUGA
rnacentral:rRNA from 1 species